UGUGGGAGCUGUAGUUUAAAUUUUCUGUAGUGGGAACUCUCGGUAGGUCGAACAUCUGUUUACGAUAAUCGCUGAAACAGCUAGGUCGAACAGUUGGGAACUCUAGGUAGCCCGUAAUUUUAUCUUCUAGAUGAUGUGAUGCUUGUUGUCAUGUACUAGAUCUGUACGUGUACAUGCUUUGUUUGUUGUUGAUCGUAACAUUAGUACAGCUCUUGUGUGCGCACAUAAGUAAACGGUCAAGUUGUUGC
rnacentral:lncRNA from 1 species